rnacentral:piRNA from 1 species
UAUUUUGUGGGAGCCAAAGAGUGCUU